rnacentral:lncRNA from 1 species
UUGGGGCCCUGUCCUUGUGCCACCUUUGUGGGAAGAAGCAGGACGGGGAGGGGAAGGGCAGCAGCCACUGGCCCAUUCCUCCCCCUGCCCGGCGCGACUCAGGGCUGCACACCCCUACCUUCCUUGCCUUUGGGGCUGUCCUGGGGCACCUGCCCAGAACAAGCGCUCCUCCUCUGCCUGCCCCUCCUGCUCUGCCACCCUCAGUCCCCCUGUGCUUUCCUCCCGGCAGCCUCCACCCCCAAAGAGACAACGGUGCCUCACAUCGUGCCGCCCGUGAGCACGGAGAAGACCACCCCGGCCACGUCUGCCAGCAGCACCUCCAGGACGUCCGUGCCCAGCGAGGCCAGCCCCGCCAGCAGCCCAGCAGUGCCAGUGGCCAGGACGUCGCCUGCCCCCAGCAGCCCUCUCAGCACCAGGCUGCCAUCUGCCGCCCCUUCCACAGCCUCCUCCCCGUCGCCCCCAAGCUCCCGGCUCAGGCCCACACCUACGACCCUGAGGCCCAAGCCCUCUCCCCCGAGGACCAGUGCUCCCACAGAGUCGCCUGCGUCCUCCGCACCCUCCACAGCCAAAACCAGCCCGCUGCCCUCAUCUACGUCCUCCCCACUCUCAACUGUGUCCUCAGCAGUGCCGAGCUCCUCACAGCCAGCCUCCACCCCCAAAGAGACAACGGUGCCUCACAUCGUGCCACCCGUGAGCACGGAGAAGACCACCCCGGCCACGUCUGCCAGCAGCACCUCCAGGACGUCCGUGCCCAGCGAGGCCAGCCCCGCCAGCAGCCCAGCAGUGCCAGUGGCCAGGACGUCGCCUGCCCCCAGCAGCCCUCUCAGCACCAGGCUGCCAUCUGCUGCCCCUUCCACAGCCUCCUCCCCGUUGCCCCCAACAAAGUCCAUGCCUACAGCCUUCAUUCCCACUUUGACCUCCUCUGAGAGUACCACUUAUUCUUCCCCCUCACCAAACACCACAGUUUCUUUUACUCCACGUGGUGAAACAUUUUCAGUAGCACUUCCAACUGCUGUCUCUUCCAAAUCCACCCCAGUUGUGAUCCCAAGAGUGUUACCUACAACAACUGUGUUUCCUCCCAGUUUUGUUACCACUGCUUCUACAGAGACCCCUUCUGUUGAACAGACUUCUAUCCGAACAACUACACUAACUACCAGGCGUACUACAUCAUCUCUUUCUGUUACAUCUGAACUUUCAACAUCCCUGUCUUCUGUUAGACCAGCUACAGUACCACAAGGUAAAGUAUUUCUUUAGUUUAUCCUACUUUGUUGCUUAGUACAUCUUUUGGUUCAUACUUAUUAAUUUUUGGGACAUUUCUUAUUUUUUUGCUAUGUCACAUUUUGCUUGUACACUUUGACUGUAUCUUCCUCUUUUAUCAUUACUGCAUAUUACUUUCUAACACCUAUAGUUGUCUUGUUGUCAUUUUCAUACCAGCAGGCUUCCUGCAGUGCAUUGAUGCAUACGCUAAGAAACACGAGUUCAGGCUGACAGGACAUUUACCAGGGAGAAAGUCAUAGAAUCUAUUUCUAUUUAAAAAUCUUAUUUUAAUGGUGUAAGAAAGACANNNNNNNNNNUACACUUUGACUGUAUCUUCCUCUUUUAUCAUUACUGCAUAUUACUUUCUAACACCUAUAGUUGUCUUGGUGUCGUUUUCAUACCAGCAGGCUUCCUGCAGUGCAUUGAUGCAUACACUAAGAAACACGAGUUCAGGCUGACAGGACAUUUACCAGGGAGAAAGUCAUAGAAUCUAUUUCUAUUUAAAAAUCUUAUUUUAAUGGUGUAAGAAAGACACCAGUUAUUUGGACAAACUAUUGCUUUACCUCAUUCUACAGUCCUUCUAUUAACUUUCAUACACUUUCUGAAAAUGCUUUUUUUUUUUCUUUUUGAAUUUUUUGAUACCUUCUCCACAGCUAAUUUUUUUCCAGUGUUGGCUAGGUACAGUAAUGGUCUUUUGCACCUCUGCGUAAAUAAAACCUAGCAGUUUUGGACUGAAGCAUAGCACACUCUUUACAAUUCUUCGUAACUUUUUUGAAAGGGAGGUGCACAGAGCAGCAUCAUUCCUAAUGGUUUGAACUGAAGCUUUCCUACUUUAUAACCUACAGGGCUGGAGUCAGGAGCACUGGCGUGAGUGCACAGAUACCUAGUAACAGGCAGUGAAGCAGUUCUCAUUCAGCACUUCUAGGGUAUGCAUUAACCCUUCUAAGAAUAAACUGAAAUGAACGGUGCUUUUUUCAAUCUGUGAAUGGAAGUAGAAUUUCCUGUGUGGUUUGUUGAUUUGUUAUUUUGUUUUCGGUGGUAAUGUUUUAUGGAUGUUUAUAUGUCUUAAUUUUUUUUGUUUGUUUUUUAUUUUUAUUUUUAUAUUUAUAUAUUUUUAUAUGUCUUAAAAUUGCUGUUUGAAGACCCAGGAGAGAAUUGACAUCUCAAUUUCAGCUACUUCCUGCAUUCCCUUUUGGGUUAGUUCCACAAAGAAAGGAGAAAUGAUCUGGAAGGUGUACCGCAACCAUAUCAUACUGCUUUCUCUUCCUGUAACUGUUCCUUCUCCACUGUCAUGCACCACUGUCUCUAUCCAUUGUCCUCUUCAUUUGUUUAAUUCCUAAAGAAAGGGAACCUCACCUCCAACAUGUUACUGCCUUCACUUGCCUGAUCUUUUUCAAGAGUUAUGGCCUCAUAGGUCUGCCCUUUUCUACACUGCUUGAUAACAAGAUUAUAAGUAUUUGUUUGAAGCAUUCGAUAAUUUUCACUAUUUGCUAUUUCCUUAGCUGCUAUGAAUCUUCACACGCAGUCUGCCAUUCCUUCACUACGAUCAGAGCAACUGAACCAUAAGCUUAUCACUAACAGCAACAAAAUUUGAACAAAGCAGAAUACCACACUCAAGUCAUCCCAACAGUCAUCUGUCAAGUCUCACUGCACAAAACCGAUUUACACACAGGAUCCCCAAAAGUCAACUAAGGAAACUGUUUGCAGUGAACUGCUCUCAAAUAGUGAUGUGACUCAAUGUGUGGCGCAAUCACCUUAGCCCACCCUCCUGUCCCUGUCUCCUCCAUUAACUUUGUCAGCAGAGAGCAGCUCAUCCAGGUCAGCCAGCUCAGCCACAAGGAAGGUCAGAAUUGUGCAGUGGGAGCACGCCCAGAAGCAAGCACUUGAAUGCACAGUCUGUCCUUCAUCCCACUUUACAUAAAUAAUGCAGUACCAAACAGCUCAAUUAUAUAUUUAAUAGUAGAAACCAGAAUUGGAUGAAUGCACAAGCAUCAGCAAAUGGUGGUUUGACACAAGAAGAUGGGAUUCUUUCUAUUGUGCAACUAUUUUUGGCCCUUCUUUCCCUGCCUCCUCACAAUUUUCACCUCACAGAACAGGAAUACAAUUAGGAACUCCCCUAAGCAGAAGGGCUUUCCCUCAUGUUCCCAAAUAUAUUUGUUUUGCUGCCUUCUUUGGCUUUUAUUUGCAUUCAGUUUUGAAGAUAGUUCUUUUGAACUCUGCCUUCCCAACCAUACCAUUACCAGGUUAGGUCCUUGCUGUUAACAGGCACUGCCUCCUGGUUCAGUUCAUAAAUUCAGAGUUGUGUACAAAUUCUCCUUUCUCUGCACAUUUGUCUGCCCUCAACUGAGCAAUUCACAUACUUGUCAGUCACACAGAUUAACAAUACCUUUCAGUCUAGAAAGCAAGGUUAGAGCCUCUCAUCAACUUUACAAGAUACAAGCAGAGGACAGCACAUUAGUGUGGUGUGCCAUUAGCUGCCUUUUUCUAAACCCCCUACAGUAUAACUGAGCCCCCUCAACAACGCUUGGCUUUCAUCCAUAACCUGCUUCAAGCUAGGAACCUGAAUGCGCUCGACAGAGCAUGCUGCAGGAGCAGUGUGGGGUGCAUAAACUGCCUUCACAGGGUUCUUCAUGUUAAGGGGUACAAACCACAAUGUUUAACCUCUUCAGCUCAUUUGAAAACUUCACUUUCAUUCAACUUUUUGCUUCAUAUGAUGCCUAGUGUCUUGCUUCAAGUCAGGAGAUGACCAGAAAAAGUGCAAGAUCAAUACAUAACACCAUUACCUUCCAAGUAGCAUUAUGCGUUCUAUUUAGAGAUUUAAAUUAUGAAAUUUUGGCUUACGUUAUUAUAAAAUUUAUAAAAUAUGCCUGGAAAUAAAUAAAUCCUUAAAAUGAGCUAAUUAAGCAUUUUUCAAGUAAGUCACAUCUAUUACCAAGUCUGUGAACCAGAAAUAAUUCUGCUGGAAUUAGCCAGCUGAUGGUUUUAUUUGCAUCUUUGCUUUCUCAUCAGUGGAUUAGGGCUUUUUCCUCCUGGACUUAAUUUGCAUUCCAUUGUUAACAGAUUUUUCUUUUUUUUUCUUUUUUUUUUUUUGUUUUGUUUUGGUUUGGUUUUUUCUUUUUUUCCCUUCUCAUUUCUAUUUCCAGCUGCGUGUAUUUUCAUAGCUGUCCUGCUAUGUCACCAUCUCACAGUUUCAGUUCCUAAAAACCUUCUCUUGCCAUGUUACUUACUGGUGACUUGUCAAUCCUCCUUCAGUCCCUCCGAAGUCAUGCAAUAGGAACGGUUUUGCAGGAACCUGAGUACAGAGGCUUUCGGCAUCCAUCAAAAGUCACACUAGAAGACUAAGAUAAAUUUUUAUUUUUUAAUGUUUGACAGAGAAUUGCCUAAAAGUCGAAUAUGAAGAAAAAAUAACUUACAAAGGCUGUUCUGCUAACAUCACUUUGAGCCGAUGUGAAGGAUCAUGUCCAUCUUCAACAACGUAAGGAUACUUGAGAGCUUCUGUAUCAUAAAUACAGUGAAGUUCUUUCUUAUCUAUGAAUACUGAUCUUUGUCAACUGCCUCUCCUUUAUAAUUCAGUGAGAAAAAGCUUUGUGGUAUUUAUCUAGCAACAGUGUGGCACUAUAGGCCAGGUAGCUAGAGCUAGCACUAAUACAGGUCAAAUAGUCUGUAGAGAUCUACAGUUUAAACAGGGAAUGUCUCCUCACUUAAGUUUUG